AGGUACUUAGGCUAUACUAAACCAAGGGCCUUCAAAGCCCCAAAAAGUGAACUAUCACUAGCACCUG
rnacentral:tRNA from 1 species